UACGUAGGUCCCGAGCGUUGUCCGGAUUUAUUGGGCGUAAAGCGAGCGCAGGUGGUUUAUUAAGUCUGGUGUAAAAGGCAGUGGCUCAACCAUUGUAUGCAUUGGAAACUGGUAGACUUGAGUGCAGGAGAGGAGAGUGGAAUCCCAUGUGUAGCGGUGAAAUGCGUAGAUAUAUGGAGGAACACCGGUGGCGAAAGCGGCUCUCUGGCCUGUAACUGACACUGAGGCUCGAAAGUGUGGGGAGCAAACAGG
rnacentral:rRNA from 1 species